rnacentral:rRNA from 1 species
AAUCAACGCUGGCGGCGUGCCUCAGACAUGCAAGUCGAACGCGAAAUUUCCCUUCGGGGAGAAAGUAGAGUGGCGCACGGGUGAGUAACACGUAGGUAAUUUGCCUUUGGGUGGGGAAUAACUCAGGGAAACUUGAGCUAAUAUCGCAUAAUGCAGCGGCUCGACAUCGAGACAGUUGUUAAAGCGGGGGAUUGGAGCAAUCCGACCUCGCGCCUAAAGAGAAGCCUGCGGCAGAUUAGCUAGUUGGUAAGGUAAUGGCUUACCAAGGCGACGAUCUGUAACCGGCCUGAGAGGGCGGGUCGGUCACACUGACACUGACAUACGGGUCAGACUCCUACGGGAGGCAGCAGUCGGG